UACGUAGGGUGCGAGCGUUAAUCGGAAUUACUGGGCGUAAAGUGUGCGCAGGUGGCCGCGCAAGUCGAGUGUGAAAUCCCCGGGCUUAACUUGGGAAUUGCGCUCGAAACUAUGUGGCUCGAGUAUGGCAGAGGAAGGUGGAAUUCCACGUGUAGCGGUGAAAUGCGUAGAGAUGUGGAGGAACACCGAUGGCGAAGGCAGCCUUCUGGGCCAAUACUGACGCUCAUGCACGAAAGCGUGGGGAGCAAACAGG
rnacentral:rRNA from 1 species